rnacentral:rRNA from 1 species
GACGAACGCUGGCGGCGUGCUUAACACAUGCAAGUCGAGCGGUAAGGCCCUUUCGGGGGUACACGAGCGGCGAACGGGUGAGUAACACGUGGGUGACCUGCCCUCAGCUCUGGGAUAAGCCUGGGAAACUGGGUCUAAUACUGGAUAUGACUCCACGGUGCAUGUCGUGGGGUGGAAAGCCUUGUGCGGCUGAGGAUGGGCCCGCGGCCUAUCAGCUUGUUGGUGGGGUGANGGCCUACCAAGGCGACGACGGGUAGCCGGCCUGAGAGGGCGACCGGCCACACCGGGACUGAGACACGGCCCAGACUCCUACGGGAGGCAGCAGUGGGGAAUCUUGCGCAAUGGGCGAAAGCCUGACGCAGCGACGCCGCGUGA